CCCAGGGAAUCUGGCAAAAUUCCUCUCUGCAGACAUGGCCGGAAAACUUCGGGGACCAUCGACAAGUAUCAAACCGCCGAAGAGGACGAAAAUAACCCCUGGAUCCCGAGAGUGCUCAGAGGCCAAGGAAUUAUAACCACUUUUCAACCAACGCAAACACGUUUACCUAUGUGUCAAGUUCUUUGGGAAACAGACUUUGAGAAAGCCAUCUGCCUACAGGAAGUUUACUGAUGAGUCACACUUGUAAGGGAGUAAGACAAGGAGAAUUAGGCAGAGGAGAGAAUUUAACUGUGAUGCAGUUAUAAUUGAGGCCUCAGCCCAUCCUACUAGGGGCUGUGAAGCUGGGGGACUCUUCCAAGGCAUUCCAAGGCAAGGGUACCUGGCCUUUAUACCCUAACAUGGAACAAAAGACUUGGCUAUGAGACCUCAGCAACCUACGUUUCUGGCAGCUAAGGAAAUGAGUGUCUUUGUCCUGAAGGGUGGAUUUGGGUGGUAGCCAGUGUCUGCCGCAGUAUUACUACCUAGUAGUCCCUUCCAUGGCCCCCUUUAUCUCAAGAUAAACAUAGCUUUCAUAGCCAUUCCACCACUCUCCUCCAUCACCCACCACACACAGCCUGUGGUCUCUUGCUCCUCUGCAGAAGCACACACCCACCUCUAAAGGACCCUUCAACAGUUUCCACACCGUGAUGUUGUCUGCACCCAUAUUUGCACACCUUGCUCUCCACCCAGUUGGAGCUGCUUAGUUCAUGUUUGUGCCCAGAGCACUAAGCAGUCCUGGAAUAGGCUGGUCAAGACUCAAUGACCACAGGGAGUAUACACCUCCUUCCCUGAAGGAAGUGGCGCCCAGCCCUCCCCACCCUGUCCCACGGUGCAGAUGCUCUUUCCUGUUGGGAAUAAAGUACUAGAGACUCAGCUUCCUUCCUUUCUACGUGUGGCCUUGGGGAGGGC